AUUGAACGCUGGCGGCAGGCCUAACACAUGCAAGUCGAGCGGAUGAAGGGAGCUUGCUCCUGGAUUCAGCGGCGGACGGGUGAGUAAUGCCUAGGAAUCUGCCGGGCAGGGGGGGAUAACGUCCGGAAACGGGCGCUAAUACCGCAUACGUCCUGAGGGAGAAAGUGGGGGAUCUUCGGACCUCACGCUAUCAGAUGAGCCUAGGUCGGAUUAGCUAGUUGGUGGGGUAAGGGCCUACCAAGGCGACGAUCCGUAACUGGUCUGAGAGGAUGAUCAGUCACACUGGAACUGAGACACGGUCCAGAGUCCUACGGGAGGCAGCAGUGGGGAAUAUUGGACAAUGGGCGAAAGCCUGAUCCAGCCAUGCCGCGUGUGUGAAGAAGGUCUUCGGAUUGUAAAGCACUUUAAGUUGGGAGGAAGGGCAGUAAGUUAAUACCUUGCUGUUUUGACGUUACCAACAGAAUAAGCACCGGCUAACUUCGUG
rnacentral:rRNA from 1 species